rnacentral:rRNA from 1 species
AAUGCUUAGGAAUCUGCCUAUUAGUGGGGGACAACAUUCCGAAAGGAAUGCUAAUACCGCAUACGCCCUACGGGGGAAAGCAGGGGAUCUUCGGACCUUGCGCUAAUAGAUGAGCCUAAGUCAGAUUAGCUAGUUGGUGGGGUAAAGGCCUACCAAGGCGACGAUCUGUAGCGGGUCUGAGAGGAUGAUCCGCCACACUGGGACUGAGACACGGCCCAGACUCCUACGGGAGGCAGCAGUGGGGAAUAUUGGACAAUGGGCGCAAGCCUGAUCCAGCCAUGCCGCGUGCAGGAUGAAGGCCUUCGGGUUGUAAACUGCUUUUGUACGGAACGAAAAGACUCUGGUUAAUACCUGGGGUCCAUGACGGUACCGUAAGAAUAAGCACCGGCUAACUACGUGCCAGCAGCCGCGGUAAUACGUAGGGUGCGAGCGUUAAUCGGAAUUACUGGGCGUAAAGCGUGCGCAGGCGGUUAUAUAAGACAGGCGUGAAAUCCCCGGGCUUAACCUGGGAAUUGCGCUUGUGACUGCAAGGCUGGAGUGCGGCAGAGGGGGAUGGAAUUCCGCGUGUAGCAGUGAAAUGCGUAGAUAUGCGGAGG